CAGAGCUACAGUUUCCAUAAUUCCCUGAGAAGAAGGAUUGACUCUUAAACCACUCUGAGAAUUGUAUCUCUGUGAGAUCUUUUUACUUCAGAGAAUAAGCUGUCUAGGCUGCACUGCCAAAUUGCUAACUGUGGUAUUUGCAACCAGAUUGGUAUUGUAUGAAAAAGGUGAUGUAUGAAAAAGAAAUCUCUUGCAACGGAACCCUGAAAAGGACUGGCAGUGAAAGCAAUAAAAAGCAGUCACAGAAAAAAGUCAAGGUGAAGAGUGAAUUUCAGAGGCAAUGCGCAUGAAAUCCAUUUGUCAACUUACCAUAAGAAGAAAAUACCAAAGGACUUUGCAGGCAAGAGAGGAGCUGCUUUACUUGCCACUUUCACCUUCAGCAAGCACACAAGCUCUGCCUGUAUAUAAUCUUUAAGGCCAUCUUCAGAGGUCCAGUAUUUCCCCCAAGAAGCAAUGGACUGUGAUGCCAUUUGGUUAAUUCUUCACAUGGACACUGUGAGGAGUAUGUGGCUAAUUAGCACACCCACCUGCUUACCUACAAUUGUUUCCUUAAAUAUUGUUGCUAUAUUGUUGAAAAUAUUGUUCACAGUUGAUGAACUGUUGUGCCUGAUUGUGCUGAGACUUCAGGCCAAUCCACACAAUCCUUAUGCUUGUACUGAGCCUGCUUGCUUCCAGUCUUGGCUUCCUCUUCCCUGUCUGUUCACUUUUUCUUUUGUGCUGUAUCGCUUAGCCUGUAAGCUUUCAAAUAGGGUGUAAAUGCUCUAAAUAGUAAUAGUGAUGAUGAGGAUGUGCUUAUGGUGAACUGCUCUUGGGAAAUCACUUUAGGUUUUCAGUGCGGCAUACACAGUUGUGUCCUGUGCUUGUGACGAACAGCUUCACUCUCAUAAGUACAUUUUGACUGAAAACAAGGUCUACCAUCAUGUGUAAUCAGAACAUAUCAGUCAAUUGACUCUCCCACCUUUUUAAAAAAUAUCUGUCUGAUGCAUGCUGAUUUAGAUGCCCUGAUGUCAUUAAAUGUUUACACAGCAUUGUGACAGUAAGGACCAUUGACAGCUGUCAGCAUCAUUUUGAGUGGAUUUGCAGCUUCAAGAUAGGAGAAAGUAGGAUAAAUGGUCAAUAGGUAUAGGGUUUCCUGGCAUGACCCAAUGCAAAGAGUGCUUCUGGCAUCACAAGGACACUGGUGCAGUUAGCACACUCUGUGGAUAAGUAGCAUUGCUUGCUUGUGGGUCAGCAUGCAUUUGGCCAGGAAGCCACAGCUGAAAGUUAACAGGUCAGUAUUAGAAAAGAUUAAUCCUCAUGGCAUAGAUAAAACAGGAGAAUGACUGAUCAAUCCCCCCCCCAUUAUCAAGUGUUCCCCUAUUCGGAGUUGCUUGAAACAGAUGCCUUGCUUACCACAUGGCACUGGACUCCUCACGGUAUCUUGUGAACAAGCCCUCAGAAAAUUGGAAAUGGACUUCAGUUUCCUGCAAAAGAGGCAUUGCCCUGGGUAGGUUGAAUAGUUUCUCCUGUCACGAAACAGGCAGCCAUUCAAUCCCCCUUAAAGUAUAUCGAGCAUAUAAACACCCUGUGCAUGUUCAAUAUUUAUGUGGAGAACAGAUUCCUUUACAUAAAAUCCCGGCAAAUCCUGCGGCGAGGCAGAUUUAUAAUCUGACACUCGCCAGAUCAUCAGAACAGGAUCUGCCAAAAAAAGAAAAGAAAAAGGAACAGAAAAAGAGGCUCUCUGUCAUCAUUAGCCUGGCAGUCUUUCUAUGCAGACUCGGACCUCAGUUAGAAACACAUCUUCAGUGAAAACUCUUAACGCUCCCCCGACCCGUUGGCAAGAAGAAUUAUAACUGGGGAAGGAGCCAAAGACCUCUAGAGAGCGUCUAGUCCUGGCCAAUACGCGUGCGCGUGUCCAUCUGUAUCUAUGCCCUCAAGAGGAUUCUAAAACAGCUAAGCGUCUUGUGCGACAGCUCAAUAAAAGCUCUCUGAUCUCUCGCUGCUUGUUUCAUCUCCCAGGAGUUUUACAGUCACUCUAGUAAGCCUCGGUUUAGGCAAACCUACACGCUCGCUCGCUCACUCGCGCUCCCUCUUUACGGGAGCUCAGUGAGUUCUCCUUAGAGGUCUAUGGGUAGUUCCCAACCCACAGACCACUAGCAAGCAGGAGCGCGCGGGACCGCCAGCUACCAAGGCAAGCCUUACGCUUUUCCCCUAACGCUGUCCGGGCUCUCGACCUUCUCCGGAGUAGCUGAG